GACGAACGCUGGAAGCGUGCUUAACACAUGCAAGUCGAACGAUGAAAUGGAGCUUGCUCCAUGGAUUAGUGGCGAACGGGUGAGUAACACGUGAAUAACCUGCCCUUGACUCUGGGAUAACUGCGGGAAACUGUAGCUAAUACCGGAUACGACCCUCGGAGGCAUCUCCUGGGGGUGGAAAGAAUUUCGGUCAAGGAUGGACUCGCGGCCUAUCAGCUAGUUGGUGAGGUAAAGGCUCACCAAGGCGACGACGGGUAGCCGGCCUGAGAGGGUGACCGGCCACACUGGGACUGAGACACGGCCCAGACUCCUACGGGAGGCAGCAGUGGGGAAUAUUGCACAAUGGGCGCAAGCCUGAUGCAGCAACGCCGCGUGAGGGAUGACGGCCUUCGGGUUGUAAACCUCUUUUAGCAGGGAAGAAGCGAAAGUGACGGUACCUGCAGAAAAAGCACCGGCUAACUACGUGCCAGCCGCCGCCGUAA
rnacentral:rRNA from 1 species